rnacentral:lncRNA from 10 species
GGCCACUGGGGUGACAUCGCCAAGUGGUUCCUAUGGUAUAAUAAUUUUGGGGCAUAAGUCCAACUGCCUAACUUCCCUUCUUCCUGCCUGUUUUCCUGAAGUUGCGUCUGCAGGCUUCCUCUUAAUUCUAUGGAUCAUGCAAUAGUCUUUCAAGAAAUUAUCUUCUGCUUAGCUAGUCACUUCCUGUUGCUAGAACCAUGAAGAGGCCUGGUGAAAGAUGUUCAGUAUACUACCUGCAUCAGCUGCUACUGCUAUGUGACAAGAAAACAGUAUGAAGUAAAUGUGCCA